rnacentral:rRNA from 1 species
GACGAACGCUGGCGGCGUGCCUAAUACAUGCAAGUCGAACGCAGUUGCGAACGGGUGAGUAAAGCGUCUGUAACUUCCUCAUAGCGGGGGAUAACCAUUGGAAACGAUAGCUAAUACCGCAUACUGUGAGAUGGACCUGCUUAGUAUUAGGUAGUUGGUGAGGUUAAGGCUCACCAAGGCGACGUAACAUAGCCGGCCUGGGAGGGUGAUCCGCCAAACUGGGACUUGGGAAAGGCCCCGACUCCGACGGGGAGCAGCAAUAGGGAAUCUUCGGCAAUGGGCGGAAGUCUGGCCGAGCAACUCCGCGGGAGUGAAGAAGGUUUUCGGAGCGUAAAGCUCUGUUGUUAGAGAAGCGGUACCUAACCAGAAAGGAACGGCUAACUACGUGCCAGCAGCCGCGGUAAUUC